UGCCUUAGUGUUACCUGUUCGUUAAUUAUUGGCUAACAGUGUGUCAAAUAAGGCAGAUAUUAAAAAGAACUGCUUAUAUUUUUGCUUCUUUCAUACUAAGAAAAAGUGGUUCUGACAUUU